GGAGAGGUGGCUGAGUGGUCGAAAGCGCCUCAUUGCUAAUGAGGUGACCGGGUAAAACCGGUCCGCAGGUUCGAAUCCUGUCCUCUCCG
rnacentral:tRNA from 1 species